rnacentral:sRNA from 1 species
UAUCAGCUCCUCUCUAAGCCGCUGGUAA